GGGGAGUUUUUGAUCUUGAGCAAAUAUCAUAAGAUUGUAUAAAAUCUUUAACUGCUUUCCACAUUUGAGGCCACCAAAAGUCCCUAGAUAUUACUUCCAAAGUUUUAUUGUACCCAAAAUAUCAUGUUGUUGAAAAAUUAUGACGAGCUUGAAGAACAUGUAAUCAAGCUUCUCUUUCUAGAACAUAUAGGUGUCUCUCAAAAUAUAGUAGAUUCUUCUUGAAUUCAAACUUGGAAGUAUUAUGAGACUUUGAAGCAUUUUUCUUAAUAUCACGAAUAAGAGGAUCAGAAGACAU
rnacentral:lncRNA from 1 species